GACAGAGGCCUCAAGCGUUGUCCGGAAUUAUUGGGCGUAAAGAGCGUGUAGGCGGCCCGAUUAGUCCGCUGUGAAAGUCCAGGGCUCAACCCUGGAAUGCCGGUGGAUACUGUCGGGCUAGAGUCCGGAAGGGGCGAGUGGAAUUCCUGGUGUAGCGGUGAAAUGCGCAGAUAUCAGGAGGAACACCAAUGGCGAAGGCAGCUCGCUGGGACGUGACUGACGCUGAGACGCGAAAGCGUGGGGAGCAAACAGG
rnacentral:rRNA from 1 species